GACAGAGGUGCCAAGCGUUAGGCGGAAUCACUGGGCUUAAAGCGUGUGUAGGUGGAUGUCUAAGUACCUUGUGAAAUCCCAACGGCUCAACCGUAGGAACUUGCUCGGUAUACUGGAUGUCUUGAGCCACUUAGGGGCUACCGGAACAAAUGGUGGAGCGGUGAAAUGCGUAGAUAUCAUUUGGAACGCCAAUGGUGAAAACAGGUAGCUGGGAGUGUGCUGACACUGAGACACGAAAGCCAGGGGAGCGAACGGG
rnacentral:rRNA from 1 species